AAAGGGAAUCUUGGGAGCAAAGGCCCGAGGGCGGGAGAGAGCACAAGCAAGGGAGAAAAAGACAAAAAGACCACAGCGUGGCUGGGAGGGCUCUAGGGAAGAUGACAAGAGGGGCUGUGCCAGGUGAAUGGGCCUGAAUCCCAAGGGAGCCCCAGGGAGAAACUGUCCCAGCUGCCAUCUCAACAGCUUGCUCUGGCUGCAGCGUCAAUACUGGGUUACAGGGUUGCUUUAGCAGGAACUGCAUCCUAAUUACUCCUCUCUUUCUCACUUUCCUUUCCAGUGGCCUCAGAGAUGUAAAUAAAUGCACACCAGAUCCACAGUGGACAGCACGCCAACAAUGAGGGCCAGUAUGGUUCAGGGAAGAGCACACAGCUUGACACAGGUUUCCAAUAAGAAACAAGAAGUAUGUUUACCAUCACAACAGAAAAGCUCCUUGCUGACAGAAAGAAGAGAAAAGCACAGAAGAAAAGAGCAGAGUGAAUAGUUUGUCAUCAGAUCUACAUGGAUGAGUGCCUCAUCUCUCUGUGCCUUCAGGAAUUUAAUCUCUGGGAGUCUGACUGUCGUGUCCACCAGCCUCAAAAUCUUAGAGAGUGAGUUCACCUAGGUCAUGGGGCUUCUGUAAGAACUAUAUGAAAAAUGCAAAUAAAUGCAUAGUACAAAGCCUGAUGCAUAAAAAGUUAUUUUAUAAAUAAAAACAGUCUGUAUUCAUGUAGCAGCCACAUUCCCACUACACAUUGAGGUCUGUUUCUUGCAAAUGCCUACAGCUCCCUGCUGAGAGUCUUUUUCUGGCACAAG
rnacentral:lncRNA from 1 species